CUCUGACCACACCUGAAGAUUUAGGUGCUCAUCCAGUUUUUUAUUAUAUUCAUAAUGGAGAAUGAAGAAGAGGGGAACUAACAUUUAUUGAGCACCUACUGUCUUCAAGUGUGGUAAAUGUUGAUACACACAAGCACAGCUCACAGUGUCCUCAGCACCUUUCCAGUGUAUCUGGGACCCUGAGAGGCGGAGUGUUGCCCCCACUUCUGCCUGGUUAACCAGGCUCCUUGGAGAAGCAGCCAGUUCCAGGCGUGCAGACAACUGCGAGAACUAGAACAAAUAAUUUCACAAUUUGUAUGGAAAUACAAAAAACCUCGAAUAGCAAAAAUAAUCUUGAGAAAGAAGAAUGGAACUGGAGGAAUCAACCUGCCUGACUUCAGACUCUACUACAAAGCCACAGUCAUCAAGACAGUAUGGUACUGGCACAAAGGCAGAAAUACAGAUCAAUGGAACAGAAUAGAAAGCCCAGAGAUAAAUCCACGAACCUAUGGACACCUUAUCUUUGACAUAGGAGGCAAGGAUAUACAAUGGGAAAAAGACAACCUCUUCAACAAGUGGUGCUGGGAAAACUGGUCAACCACUUGUAAAAGAAUGA